rnacentral:rRNA from 1 species
UAAUAUAUCGGAACGUACCCUGGAGUGGGGGAUAACGUAGCGAAAGUUACGCUAAUACCGCAUACGAUCUAAGGAUGAAAUGGGGGAUUCGCAAGAACCUCAUGCUCCUGGAGCGGCCGAUAUCUGAUUAGCUAGUUGGUGGGGUAAAGGCCUACCAAGGCAUCGAUCAGUAGCUGGUCUGAGAGGACGACCAGCCACACUGGAACUGAGACACGGUCCAG